ACGGCGGUGUAAAGUGAUACCGUUAACGCAAAGUCGGUAGCGACAAUGCAGAGAAUGCCGACUUCGUGGAUAUUUUUCAUUUUUCCCCUAAUAAAACAAAUUAUUUCAUAUAACUACAGAAACACACUGAUAGAGCGCAUAUCGCUCCCUCGUCGCCUCCGUCCCGGCGAGUACAACCACAUCCAAAACCCUCGCAUGGCGGCGCCCUCCCUUCUCCUCCAUCGCCAUUGCUUCCACCACCUCUCGCGCCCUUCCCUUUGCCCUAGUUGUGUAAUCCUUCGGCGUAGAUCUCUUCUCCGCUCAUAUUCGACCCGUUCCUCUCCCAAUCGCACCUCCGUAGAGCCAAAGCUCCACAAGUACGAGAUAAACCCUAGAAAUUAUUGGGACGACUUCUACAAGCGUCACCACAACAAGUUCUUUAAGGAUCGGCAUUACCUGGAGAAGGAUUGGGGUAGCUACUUCUCCUGCCAUAGUGGAAAUGAGGAACCUUGUCUUGAUCCGAAGGUUGUAUUGGAGGUUGGCUGUGGAGCCGGCAAUACUCUUUCCCCACUGCUCAAUGCAUUCCCUGAUAUUUUUGUUCAUGCUUGCGAUUUCUCGCCUCACGCAGUUGAGCUUCUCAAGGAACAGGGAACUUUUAAGUCUGAUCGGAUGAAUGCUUUUGUUUGUGAUGUCACAGUGGAUGACCUUUGCAACAAAAUAGAGCCGGCGUCAGUGGAUAUUGUCACUAUGAUUUUUAUGUUGUCUGCAGUUCCCCCAGUAAAGAUGCCUUUGGUAUUACAAAACAUUAUAAAUGUGCUUAAGCCUGGUGGUUUCUUGCUUUUCCGCGAUUAUGCUAUGGGUGACUUUGCUCAGGAAAAGCUUGCCGACAAAGAUCAGAUAAUCAGUGAGAACUUCUGUGUCAGGGGUGAUGGAAUUGGUGCUUACUACUUUUCUGAAGGUUUUCUCUCUGGAUUGUUUGAAAGAAACGGCUUCAAGAAGAUAGAAGUGAGCGUCUACCACAAACAGAUUGUAAAUCACUUGAGAAAUGUAGUGAUGAAUAGGCGCUGGAUUCGUGCUACAUUUUGUAAUACUAGUUGCCAUAAUGUGCACUCAACAAUGUCUGAGCAAACGGUUGUUGACAAGGUAUACUCUGAAUGAUGGCUAUAGAUCCUUUUGCUGUAGAGAAGUCUUAAACCUUGCUUCUGAAAUCUGAAAGCUGAACAUCGUGCAGAUCAAGAAUACGCUGUUAGAUGCAGAGUAAGCACACUGGAAUUAUGGAAAAGUCGCAGACAGGAAGAAUAUGGCAUUAGGGCAAGAUAAAGAAGUCAAAGAUGAAUCAUUUAUUUGUAAAGGUGCUCGUGCUUAAUAAGAUUUAGCUGUUCUUGAAUUGAGGGGAAGAAGAGGAAAAACUCGGAGACUUUCUCUCCAGAUUUUUGGUCAAGAUUUGCUACAUUUCGCAAAAUCUCACUUGUGUUGUAAUAUUCUCUUACUAAAUAAGCAAAUUUAUUGUAUGCGCGCAUAUUGACAAUUACAUUGGUAAAUGAUGGUUAAUUGUUUUCUAUUUUAAGCAAGUUCUUCAA